rnacentral:rRNA from 1 species
AGUGAACGCUGGCGGUAGGCCUAACACAUGCAAGUCGAACGGCAGCACAGUAAGAGCUUGCUCUUACGGUUGGCGAGUGGCGGACGGGUGAGGAAUACAUCGGAAUCUCCUUUUUCGUGGGGGAUAACGUAGGGAAACUUACGCUAAUACCGCAUACGACCUACGGGUGAAAGCAGGGGAUCUUCGGACCUUGCGCGAUUGAAUGAGCCGAUGUCGGAUUAGCUAGUUGGCGGGGUAAAGGCCCACCAAGGCGACGAUCCGUAGCUGGUCUGAGAGGAUGAUCAGCCACACUGGAACUGAGACACGGUCCAGACUCCUACGGGAGGCAGCAGUGGGGAAUAUUGGACAAUGGGCGCAAGCCUGAUCCAGCCAUACCGCGUGGGUGAAGAAGGCCUUCGGGUUGUAAAGCCCUUUUGUUGGGAAAGAAAAGCAGCAGGUUAAUACCCCGCUGUUCUGACGGUACCCAAAGAAUAAGCACCGGCUAACUUCGUG